UGUCUCCUCCAUGUCUCCACAUGGAUUCAGCCCGCAACAGUGUUGCGGGCUUUUUCUU
rnacentral:ncRNA from 2 species